rnacentral:rRNA from 1 species
UACGUAGGUGGCAAGCGUUGUCCGGAAUUACUGGGUGUAAAGGGUGCGCAGGCGGGGCAAUAAGUUGGAUGUGAAAUACUCGGGCUCAACUCGGGUGCUGCAUUCAAAACUAUUGCUCUUGAGUGAAGUAGAGGUAGGCGGAAUUCCCGGUGUAGCGGUGAAAUGCGUAGAGAUCGGGAGGAACACCAGUGGCGAAGGCGGCCUGCUGGGCUUUUACUGACGCUGAGGCACGAAAGCAUGGGUAGCAAACAGG